CCACGCCCCCGAGCAGAGGCCUCCAAUCACAGGCAGGAUCGCGAAGCCGCGACCCCGCAGGUGCUGACCUUGGGAGGAGCGGGGCGCUGGCCCUCUGCUCCUGGGGCCCUCGGGGCUCUAAAGUCUGUGGUGUGCUCAGAAUGUAUGGGUUUUACUGUAUAUUCCAGGCUGAUCUUCAACACGCGGUAACCUUCCUGUCUCAGCCUCUUGAGAAUUGGGAUUACUGCGUCUGGCCCCACGCCUGGCUCUUCGAACACACUUAUCCGGUCGUCCUUGCCACUUUCUGAAGCAGCUGGAGUCUUUUUUCCUGAGUAUUUUUAUGAGGUGUGAUAUAAAAAACGGUGACUGCUGCUGCCACGGGCCAUCCCACAGAAAGGCAGCUCGUGAAAACACGACGUUGUGUCCUCGUCCAUUUUAUUCACCAGAUCUGGCACUGUAUGACUUCCGGCUCUUCCCCAGAGUCAAAUGACCACGACAGGGAAACGUUUUCAGUCAACUCAGGACAUGGAGGAGCCAGGACAGCGCAGCUAAAGACACUCAGGAGAGGGCUCCAGCGCUUCGGCAGGAAGGGCAGAAUGACAGGAGGAGGGUGUGUGAAGUGACGAGAGUGUUCUGAGGGGGAUUCGUGGCAGUGCGUCUUUUAAGCACUCACUACUUUUCCAUCCCACCUGGUUGUUGGCAGUGGCUCUGCACCUCUCGGCGUCUGGAGGACAGGUCAGAACGUCCACCUGGCUGCCUCUCCCUUCUCUCCCUUUAGCCUUUCAACCUUAAAUUGGAAUCGCCCCCAGAGCCACAGCCCUACAAAUCCUGCCCUUCGAGUUUCUGGGCCUUCUUGACCCUCCUGUGGGUACUGUGGGUUUUCAGGCUUGGCGGGACAGUGCCUCUGUUCCACACCUCGUGCGCAGACUCUCUGCUGCAGCUGCAGCGACUGAUCAGCCCCUCACCCCUGUCCUGUGGGCACCACCACUCACCGCCUAUCGGGUGGGGCUGGGCUCGUGCUGGGCCUGGGACAUUGCUAUGACCAGCAUUAGGCAGCUUAGAAGUGGAAGCCUUCUGUCAUCUGCAUGUUUAUCAGUGGAAUCACCUCAUCUCAAGGUGAGCUGUCAUUGUGGGUGUGGAGCAGGUGUUGUUACCGCUUGCUUCUCAUCCUAUUGAUUAAUGCUCUCCUGCCCUGCAACCCCCAUGGACAGUGUCCCAUAAGUAUUUUGGGGGGAGAUGGAGAUGCCCACACUGACACAAGCAAUUAAAAAAUAUUUUAUUGGUA